GCCCUGUGGUUCCUGGGAGCUGCAACCUAGUGCAGUACUUCAGGUUAUGGAAAAGGGCAAAAAUUAAUUCUGUAGUUUCAUGCAUGGGGUCUGUGCUUGUGCUAAGCAGUCUCCAUAGCCCGGUUACAGAUACAAAU
ensembl:snoRNA